AACGGACGCUGGCGGCAUGCCUAACACAUGCAAGUCGAACGAGACCUUCGGGUCUAGUGGCGCACGGGUGCGUAACGCGUGGGAACCUGCCCUUAGGUUCGGAAUAACUCCCCGAAAGGGGUGCUAAUACCGGAUAAUGUCUUCGGACCAAAGAUUUAUCGCCUUUGGAUGGGCCCGCGUUGGAUUAGCUAGUUGGUAGGGUAAAAGCCUACCAAGGCGACGAUCCAUAGCUGGUCUGAGAGGAUGAUCAGCCACACUGGGACUGAGACACGGCCCAGACUCCUACGGGAGGCAGCAGUGGGGAAUAUUGGACAAUGGGCGAAAGCCUGAUCCAGCAAUGCCGCGUGAGUGAUGAAGGCCUUAGGGUUGUAAAGCUCUUUUACCCGGGAUGAUAAUGACAGUACCGGGAGAAUAGGCUCCGGCUAACUCCGUG
rnacentral:rRNA from 1 species